rnacentral:rRNA from 1 species
CSGCGMGCUACCRUGCAGUCGAGCGGAGRAGGUAGCUUGCUACUGRWCYUAGCGGCGGACGGGUGAGUAWUGCUUAGGAAUCUGCCUAUUAGUGGGGGACAACAUCUCGAAAGGGAUGCUAAUACCGCAUACGUCCUACGGGAGAAAGCAGGGGAUCUUCGGACCUUGCGCUAAUAGAUGAGCCUAAGUCGGAUUAGCUAGUUGGUGGGGUAAAGGCCUACCAAGGCGACGAUCUGUAGCGGGUCUGAGAGGAUGAUCCGCCACACUGGGACUGAGACACGGCCCAGACUCCUACGGGAGGCAGCAGUGGGGAAUAUUGGACAAUGGGCGCAAGCCUGAUCCAGCCAUGCCGCGUGUGUGAAGAAGGCCUUAUGGUUGUAAAGCACUUUAAGCGAGGAGGAGGCUACUUUAGAUAAUACCUAGAGAUAGUGGACGUUACUCGCAGAAUAAGCACCGGCUAACUCUGUGCCAGCAGCCGCGGUAAUACAGAGGGUGCAAGCGUUAAUCGGAUUUACUGGGCGUAAAGCGCGCGUAGGCGGCUAAUUAAGUCAAAUGUGAAAUCCCCGAGCUUAACUUGGGAAUUGCAUUCGAUACUGGUUAGCUAGAGUGUGGGAGAGGAUGGUAGAAUUCCAGGUGUAGCGGUGAAAUGCGUAGAGAUCUGGAGGAAUACCGAUGGCGAAAGCAGCCAUCUGGCCUAACACUGACGCUGAGGUGCGAAAGCAUGGGGAGCAAACAGGAUUAGAUACCCUGGUAGUCCAUGCCGUAAACGAUGUCUACUAGCCGUUGGGGCCUUUGAGGCUUUAGKGCGCAGCUAACSCGAUAAGUAGACCGCCUGGGGGAGUACGGUCGCAGACUAAACUCAAUGAUGACGGGGGCCCGCMCAGCGGUGGAGCAUGKGGUUUAUCGAUGCACGCGARAACCUACCUGUCUGACAUAGUAGGACUUCAGAGAUGGAUUGUGCUCGUACUACAUAMGUGCUGGCAUGACUGUUCGUCAG